GUCCUACGGGGGGCAGCAGUGGGGAAUAUUGGACAAUGGGGGGAACCCUGAUCCAGCGACGCCGCGUGAGUGAAGAAGUAUUUCGGUAUGUAAAGCUUUAUCAGCAGGGAAGAAAGAAAUGACGGUACCUGACUAAGAAGCCCCGGCUAACUACGUGCCAGCAGCCGCGGUAAUACGUAGGGGGCAAGCGUUAUCCGGAUUUACUGGGUGUAAAGGGAGCGUAGACGGCAUUGCAAGUCCGGAGUGAAAGCCCACGGCCCAACCGUGGGAC
rnacentral:rRNA from 1 species